rnacentral:tRNA from 1 species
UGCCUGGAGGACUAGUGGUUAGGCCUCAGCGCUCUCAUCACCGUGCCCCGGGUUCGAUCACCAGCCAGGGAA